CGAGCGAACAGACGAGGAGCUUGCUCCUCUGACGUUAGCGGCGGACGGGUGAGUAACACGUGGAUAACCUACCUAUAAGACUGGGAUAACUUCGGGAAACCGGAGCUAAUACCGGAUAAUAUAUUGAACCGCAUGGUUCAAUAGUGAAAGACGGUUUUGCUGUCACUUAUAGAUGGAUCCGCGCCGCAUUAGCUAGUUGGUAAGGUAACGGCUUACCAAGGCAACGAUGCGUAGCCGACCUGAGAGGGUGAUCGGCCACACUGGAACUGAGACACGGUCCAGACUCCUACGGGAGGCAGCAGUAGGGAAUCUUCCGCAAUGGGCGAAAGCCUGACGGAGCAACGCCGCGUGAGUGAUGAAGGUCUUCGGAUCGUAAAACUCUGUUAUUAGGGAAGAACAAAUGUGUAAGUAACUAUGCACGUCUUGACGGUACCUAAUCAGAAAGCCCCGGCUAACUACGUGCCAGCAGCCGCGGUAAUACGUAGGUGGCAAGCGUUAUCCGGAAUUAUUGGGCGUAAAGCGCGCGUAGGCGGUUUUUUAAGUCUGAUGUGAAAGCCCACGGCUCAACCGUGGAGGGUCAUUGGAAACUGGAAAACUUGAGUGCAGAAGAGGAAAGUGGAAUUCCAUGUGUAGCGGUGAAAUGCGCAGAGAUAUGGAGGAACACCAGUGGCGAAGGCGACUUUCUGGUCUGUAACUGACGCUGAUGUGCGAAAGCGUGGGGAUCAAACAGGAUUAGAUACCCUGGUAGUCCACGCCGUAAACGAUGAGUGCUAAGUGUUAGGGGGUUUCCGCCCCUUAGUGCUGCAGCUAACGCAUUAAGCACUCCGCCUGGGGAGUACGACCGCAAGGUUGAAACUCAAAGGAAUUGACGGGGACCCGCACAAGCGGUGGAGCAUGUGGUUUAAUUCGAAGCAACGCGAAGAACCUUACCAAAUCUUGACAUCCUCUGACCCCUCUAGAGAUAGAGUUUUCCCCUUCGGGGGACAGAGUGACAGGUGGUGCAUGGUUGUCGUCAGCUCGUGUCGUGAGAUGUUGGGUUAAGUCCCGCAACGAGCGCAACCCUUAAGCUUAGUUGCCAUCAUUAAGUUGGGCACUCUAAGUUGACUGCCGGUGACAAACCGGAGGAAGGUGGGGAUGACGUCAAAUCAUCAUGCCCCUUAUGAUUUGGGCUACACACGUGCUACAAUGGACAAUACAAAGGGUAGCGAAACCGCGAGGUCAAGCAAAUCCCAUAAAGUUGUUCUCAGUUCGGAUUGUAGUCUGCAACUCGACUAUAUGAAGCUGGAAUCGCUAGUAAUCGUAGAUCAGCAUGCUACGGUGAAUACGUUCCCGGGUCU
rnacentral:rRNA from 1 species